GACGAACGCUGGCGGCGUGCCUAAUACAUGCAAGUAGAACGCUGAAGGGAGAGCUUGCUCUUCUGGAUGAGUUGCGAACGGGUGAGUAACGCGCAGGUAACCUGCCUGGCAGCGGGGGAUAACUAUUGGAAACGAUAGCUAAUACCGCAUAACAGCAAAUGUUGCAUGACAUUUGCUUAAAAGGUGCAAUUGCAUCACUACCAGAUGGACCUGCGUUGUUUUAGCUAGUUGGUGGGGUAACGGCUCACCAAGGCGACGAUACAUAGCCGACCUGAGAGGGUGAUCGGCCACACUGGGACUGAGACACGGCCCAGACUCCUACGGGAGGCAGCAGUAGGGAAUCUUCGGCAAUGGACGGAAGUCUGACCGAGCAACGCCGCGUGAGUGGAGAAGGUUUUCGGAUCGUAAAGCUCUGUUGUAAGGGAAGAACGAGUGUGAGAGUGGAAAGUUCACACUGUGACGGUAUCUUACCAGAAAGGGACGGCUAACUACGUGCCAGCCGCCGCGGUAA
rnacentral:rRNA from 1 species